rnacentral:piRNA from 1 species
UCACCGUUAAACCAACAUUUA